rnacentral:misc_RNA from 1 species
UGUCCUAGGUGCUAGCUCCACC